rnacentral:snRNA from 1 species
CGAGUUUGAGCUCAUCGGA